CGCCCAGUGACCUGCCGAGGUCGGCAGCACAGAGCUCUGGAGAUGAAGACCCUGUUCCUGGGUGUCACGCUCGGCCUGGCCGCUGCCCUGUCCUUCACCCUGGAGGAGGAGGAUGAGGGAGGAUAGGUGCAUCCAGAAGAAAAUCCUGAUGCGGAAGACGGAGGAGCCUGGCAAAUACAGCGCCUAUGGGGGCAGGAAGCUCAUGUACCUGCAGGAGCUGCCCAGGAGGGACCACUACAUCUUUUACUGCAAAGACCAGCACCAUGGGGGCCUGCUCCACAUGGGAAAGCUUGUGGGUAGGAAUUCUGAUACCAACCGGGAGGCCCUGGAAGAAUUUAAGAAAUUGGUGCAGCGCAAGGGACUCUCGGAGGAGGACAUUUUCACGCCCCUGCAGACGGGAAGCUGCGUUCCCGAACACUAGGCAGCCCCCGGGUCUGCACCUCCAGAGCCCACCCUACCACCAGACACAGAGCCUGGACCACCUGGACCUACCCUCCAGCCAUGACCCUUCCCUGCUCCCACCCACCUGACUCCAAAUAAAGUCCUUCUCCCCCAGC
rnacentral:misc_RNA from 1 species